AGACCACCACAUGAGUGGGGAAAGGCAGAGAGAGAGGGAGAUACAGAAUCGGAAGCAGGCUCCAGGCUCUGAGCUGUCGGCACAGAACCCAACACGGGGCUCAAACUCCGAGCUGAAAUCGAAUGCUUAACUGACUGAGCCACCCAGUGCCCUGAAGAAUCAGUAUUUUGAAGAUACUUGACAUUAUUCAUUCAAAAGAACAUCAAGAAUGAGGGAAAAUGAAGAUUUAGACCUAUGAGAUCUUAUUCAACAUAAACAUGUGAAUAAUGCAGUAUUAGAGGAGGGAAAAGGGAAAACAGGAUGCUUGAAGGAAAUGGCUGGAAACUUUAAAAAUGUUAAACUCAAGUGAAAUAAACCAAAAAACUAAUGGAAUCUUUGAGGCAGAAGUAAGACACUAGAGAGGAACUCGAAUCUGCAAAGGACACUGGGAAAGAUGACAAAAGUAAGACCUAGAGAAGCCUCUAAAACAAGCCAGGAACAGUGGAGCCCGGAGCUGAAGCUGGUCUCAUUCCACAAGAUGCCUGCUGAGUGACCCUUUCCUGACGAUAAUCAGAGGCUGCUUGCAGC